GCAAGAAGCAGCCCCACUCCUGCACUCGGCUGUACUCAGAAACCAAGUCGUUUCCUGUCUGGGAAGGCGGCAUCUGCCAUUACCUAUACAAGAGGGUCUACAAAGUCCACCAGGACAUCUGCUACAAGGAGAGCUGUGAGAGCACUGCUUCAAAGAAGACAGGCAGCAGAAAACAAAGUAACAGUCACGCACUGAAGAAGCCAUAGAGGUUCAAAGCACUAAGAGCUUCCAUCUUACCAGAUCUAAGGCCUUUCAAUCACCAGGAAGACUGGAUCUACAAAUAGUGGGGGAGACUUUCCUAUGUGGAGUCACUGCCCUUCCCUCUCCUCCAGCCUGUUAGGGACACACUCAGACUGCCACACCACACAGUCAUUUCCCCUCUCGGCAGCAGGCGCACCAGAGCCCUCACACGGGCUUUCCUUAUUGCGGAUGCCCUUCUUCUCAUCACCAGACACCAUCCAGGGACAAGCAACAUCACAUUAGAAUGGCUGACUGUCUCAUACAGGGGUUCGCCUAUCUUCGUAACCCAGGCCUGUUCAUGUGAGUCCCUCCUCUGCAUGGGCAUUUACAGGGCUGAAAUCCAGCCCCCUCUUACCAACAUAUGCACCAAUCUGUUAAAUUACAAAUCAAGUUUAAUGCAGCACUAUACUCCUUAGCUAUGAACUGACACCUGACCUACAGAGCCCCGGCAGAGAUGUAAAAUAUUCCCCGGCACAGUCCAGUAAAAAAAAUCCUAUUUCAACUGAUGAGGGUGGAAAAUAAAGAAAGUAGUAGA